AACGAACGCUGGCGGCGCGUUUUACGCAUGCAAGUCGAACGGCAUAAGCUGUAGCAAUAUGGUUUAGAGAGUGGCAAACGGGUGAGUAACACGUAGGUGAUCUACCUCUGGACGGGGGAUAGCCCGUGGAAACACGGGGUAAUACCGCAUGAGGCCCUUGGUGUAAAGGCCAGGGGUGAAAGGUCCAAUUGGACCAUCUGGGGAUGAGCCUGCGUCCCAUUAGGCAGUUGGCGGGGUAAGAGCCCACCAAACCGACGAUGGGUAGCCGGCCUGAGAGGGUGAACGGCCACACUGGAACUGAGACACGGUCCAGACUCCUACGGGAGGCUG
rnacentral:rRNA from 1 species